rnacentral:lncRNA from 1 species
GGGGAAAUUGCGGAAGCGAUCACUGACAAUGCAAGGGAUAAUUUUUCCAAGACUGUGGGGCUAUGCAUGGGAUACGUUCAAGCCUGGGAUGUACCCCAAAGCUCACCUCCUCAACAAGGGAUGAGUUUCUCCCAAGACCAUCAACUACUUGUAACUGGACAAGCUUAUGUGGUGCCUUUUUUGUUGAAAUUGGAGGAUAUCUAUGAGCCAAUUAAAAAAGCCAUCAAUAUCACUCAGAAUAUAAUAUAUAAUUUAGAUAAAAUUGCAGGAGAUGAUCUUAUCAUCAAUCAGAAUAUGAUAUAUAAUUUAGAUGAAAUUGAGGGAGAUGAUUUUAUCUUGUUUACCUCUUUGAUUUCUCAGCAUAUCCUGGCUUUUCAAGAAAGAUUAAAAAAUUUGCAUGCUUCAAUGCAGGAUUUCCUAAUGCAUAUUGUGGCCAAUGACAUUCCUCAACCUAGAAG